rnacentral:tRNA from 1 species
UGCAUGCUUGGCCGAGUGGUUAAGGCGUCGGAAGGCAGAAUCCGACCGGGUCAAGCCCGACGCAGGUUCGAAUCCUGCAGCAUGCAAAUGACUUGU